GCCCCCGUCGUCUAGGUAGGCCUAGGACACCGGGUUUUCAUCCCGGCAACAGGGGUUCAAAUCCCCUCGGGGGUA
rnacentral:tRNA from 1 species